AAAUAAUAUCUGAGUCUCUUCUUCGAGACUCUUCCGAUGCUCUUCCUUCUCUCUACUUUCUCUCUCUAAAUUUCUUUGAUCUUUUGCAUGUUUUCAGGAAAAACUCAUGAGGAGAGUGAUUUGACUCACAGAAGCGAGGAUUUAGAAGAGAGGGUCAACAAUUGCAGUGACUGAGGGAGACUUGUUCUGUGAUUAACAAAUGACUUCAAACAAGAACCUGAUUUGCAUGCAGUUUAUAAAAUAGUAUCUAUAUCUUUUUUUAUAAGUGACACGACAAGUAGCUAUGUAUUUGUUGCUAUAGAUUAAGUUACAUUAGUAAAAAUAUAUGUUGCAAGCUCCA
rnacentral:lncRNA from 1 species